rnacentral:rRNA from 1 species
UACGUAGGGGGCAAGCGUUGUCCGGAAUCAUUGGGCGUAACGAGCGUGUAGGCGGCUCGGUAAGUCCGCUGUGAAAGUCCAGGGCUCAACCCUGGAAUGCCGGUGGAAACUGUCGAGCUAGAGUCCGGAAGAGGCGAGUGGAAUUCCUGGUGUAGCGGUGAAAUGCGCAGAUAUCAGGAGGAACACCAAUGGCGAAGGCAGCUCGCUGGGACGGUACUGACGCUGAGACGCGAAAGCGUGGGGAGCAAACAGG